GACGAACGCUGGCGGCGUGCCUAAUACAUGCAAGUAGAACGCACAGUUUAUACCGUAGCUUGCUACACCAUAGACUGUGAGUUGCGAACGGGCGAGUAACGCGUAGGUAACCUGCCUGGUAGCGGGGGAUAACUAUUGGAAACGAUAGCUAAUACCGCAUAAUAUUAAUUAUUGCAUGUUAAUUAAUUGAAAGGUGCAAUUGCACCACUACCAGAUGGACCUGCGUUGUAUUAGCUAGUAGGUGAGGUAACGGCUCACCUAGGCGACGAUACAUAGCCGACCUGAGAGGGUGAUCGGCCACACUGGGACUGAGACACGGCCCAGACUCCUACGGGAGGCAGCAGUAGGGAAUCUUCGGCAAUGGACGAAAGUCUGAACGAGCAACGCCGCGUGAGGGAAGAAGGUUUUCGGAUCGUAAAGCUCUGUUGUAAGAGAAGAACGGGUGUGAGAGUGGAAAGUUCACACUGUGACGGUAUCUUACCAGAAAGGGACGGCUAACUACGUG
rnacentral:rRNA from 1 species